rnacentral:lncRNA from 1 species
UGUUGUUGAUUGAAGUUUAUUGAUGUCGAAACAUUUAAAAUUUUUUGUUCAUUAUUGCAAAGUUUUUGUAUUGGUAUGUUUGUCUAGUACUUCAUAAUUUCCUAAUUCUUUGGAGUGUCGGCAUUUGUUUAGAUUAACGACUCUUUUUAGAGUCGGUAAUAUGUUGGUAUUUCAUAAUUUACUGAUAUUGUGGAGUAUCGGUAAUUGUUUAAAUUAACAACUAUUUUUAGAGUCCGCAACUAAU